rnacentral:rRNA from 1 species
CUAAGGCUUAACCAUAGAAUUGCCUCAGAAACUGUUUCGCUUGAGUCAGUGAGGGGAGGGCGGAAUUCCUGGUGUAGCGGUGAAAUGCGUAGAUAUCAGGAGGAAGGCCGGUAGCGAAGGCGGCCCUCUGGCACUGAACUGACGCUGAGGCGCGAAAGCGUGGGUAGCAAACAGGAUUAGAUACCCUGGUAGUCCACGCCCUAAACGGUGGGCAUUAGGUGUAGGGCUCGUAAGGGUUCUGUGCCGAAGGGAAACCAUUAAAUGCCCCGCCUGGGGAAUACGGCCGCAAGGUUGAAACUCAAAGGAAUUGACGGGGGCCCGCACAAGCGGUGGAGCAUGUGGUUUAAUUCGACGCUACGCGAAGAACCUUACCUGGGUUUGACAUGUUAGUAGUAAAAACCUGAAAAGGGGCUGACCCUGAGGUAACUCAGGGAGCUAACACAGGUGCUGCAUGGCUGUCGUCAGCUCGUGCCGUGAGGUGUUGGGUUAAGUCCCGCAACGAGCGCAACCCUUAUCCUCUGCUGGUCGUAAACGAUCUCUCUGGGGAAACUGCCGGCGAUGAGCUGGAGGAAGGUGGGGAUGACGUCAAGUCAGCAUGGCCCUUAUGUCCAGGGCGACACACGUGCUACAAUGGCUGCUACAGAGGGAUGCAAUACCGUGAGGUGGAGCCAAUCCUUAAAAGCAGUCUCAGUGGGGAUCGGAGUCUGCAAUUCGACUCCGUGAACGCGGAAUCGCUAGUAAUCAUGGAUCAGCCAUGCCAUGGUGAAUACGUUCCCGGGCCUUGUACACACCGCCCGUCACACCACGAAAGCCUGUUGU